CGCGGCCUAUCAGCUUGUUGGUGGGGUAACGGCCUACCAAGGCGAUGACGGGUAGCGGGUCUGAGAGGAUGAUCCGUCACACUGGGACUGAGACACUGCCCAGACUCCUACGGGAGGCUGCAGUCGAGAAUCUUCCACAAUGGGCGCAAGCCUGAUGGAGCGACACCGCGUGCAGGAUGAAGGCCUUAGGGUUGUAAACUGCUGUCACGCACUAGGAAUGCACGUGGGUUAACAGCCGACGUGUUGACUAACGCGAGAGGAAGCACCGGCUAACUCCGUGCCAGCAGCCGCGGUAAUACGGAGGGUGCAAGCGUUGUUCGGAUUCACUGGGCAUAAAGAGCACGUAGGCGGCUCGAUCAGUCGGAUGUGAAAUCCCACGGCUCAACCGUGGAACUGCAUCCGAUACUGUCGAGCUCGAGAUCGGAAGGGGUAAGCGGAACUCCAGGUGGAACGGUGAAAUGUGUAGAUAUCUGGAGGAACACCGGUGGCGAAGGCGGCUUACUGGUCCGAUUCUGACGCUGAGGUGCGAAAGCUAGGGUAGCGAACGGGAUUAGAUACCCCGGUAGUCCUAGCCGUAAACGAUGGGCACUAGGCAAUGGGUCUUCCCUAUGGGGCUCAUUGCCGGAGCUAAUGUGUUAAGUGCCCCGCCUGGGGAGUACGG
rnacentral:rRNA from 1 species